GUACCUACGCGUACAUAAUUAUAAAAACAUUUCAUGUUAAUCGUUUACAUAAUAUGUGAAGCGAUAUACAAAUUUCCAAAGUUGUUUUUAUUUUUUUUUAAGUUCUUCUGGUACUCAAGACUUGAAUUUACAUAUCGUAACCGAACGAUGAUGUCCUCAAACUCGUGUUCAUUUCGAACGGUACAUGAAGUUGUUGCGAGGAGUCAGAGGGAGGAGGAGGAGUCAAGAGCGUGUAGCAGCCGCGUGCACUGUGCCCCUUGUUGUUAGUACAGUGCCUUCCGAGUAAUUACAUCGAAAUGUGGAUAGUGGGGUGCCGCCGCCCGCUGCGAUCUAAUUAUGCAAACAAGUUGUUGUUUGUGUUACCGCCGGGGAAUUAUAUAAGAUAACACCGACCAAAAGUUCUUCCAUCAAUUAUAAGUUUGCGGCGAGCACAAUGCAAACAGACCCGCCGACUUAAAAAGCCUACCGUUACCCGAGGCGGAGAGGCUCACGACCGAGAGUGAUUUCAUUUUGUUUUGCCGGCGAUGACGACGUACAUUAGUACAAAUAUGUGGCUUCGAGAAUCAGAGUCCAAUCUGGCUGCAAAUCGAAUGCUGUAAUGAGAGGUCAGCCCUACUUAUUAUGUGGUAGCCUAAGAGGCUAUUCCAGCUACGCCUGAACGGGUAGGUGAGCUUACGGGUUCAACCUGAGAGAAAUUGCUAACACUAGCCCUAGAAAAAGCAGUGCUUCGCUGAAUCUACCACCGGAUCGGAGUCGCGACCCACUGAGAAAAUCCGGCGAGAAACUCAGUGGGCUGUGUCUAUGGGGAGAGGUCAGCGAAUUCAGUUCUACUUAUGCUCAGUUUACCUCCACUCACCCCUCAGGCAGGACGUCGUCUUAGACUAAAAUGAUAUUGAAUUCGUUAUAGUUGUCGGCAACUUUAACCAAUCUUGUAUAACCUGGAAUUUUAAUAAUAACACGCACAACAACUGUAACAGCUGUAAAAUUAGUAAUAACCUAUUGCGUAACA